CUCUCUCUCUCUCUUUAGUUUGAUCUGUUCUAAGACAAGAACACUAGGAUUAGAACAAUUGCAGUAUAAAACCCUCCUCCUGCAUCUGAGAUGAUAUCCCUUUCAUCUGCACCAUAUGCUUCAUAUACAGUCGAUGAUCUUCUUGCUUAAUUUGGACGAGAAUAUUUAAAUAUUCUAGAUCCUGAUGAACAGUUGGAUACUUGUUUAUCGGACGGAGAGUUUGGACAAAAUCGAAUGAUAUUUUGUCGAGGCCCAUCUAAACUGGAGUAGGACUCCCAAGGGGACGUGUUUCAAAUGUUUUGCGGUAGGUUUUUUCUAAUUUUUAUAUUUAAUAAUUAAUUAUAUACUUUUUAAAAAAAAUCAACCAAAAAAAUAAAUGGUAAGCUAUAUAAAACAAGAUGUAGAUAUACCUAUCAGCAAUUUAACUAAAAUAACAAAAUUAUCCAAAAAUAAAUAAUAUAUUCAAAUAUAUAAUUGUAAGUUUAGUAUUUUAGUGGUAUAUUUAAGGGCAAUUGUUUAAAAUAGCACUUUUGAAAAUUUUAUCACAAAAAUGACACCAGAAGGGAAAAGUCACAAAAAUGACAUUCAUUAAUGGACAAAAUGUCCUUAAUACCCUUGUUUUAUAUUAAAAAAAUAAGAAAACUUCUAUGAUAUCUCUCUCUCACGACUCUCUCUCUCUCACACGAUUAUUAUUUCUCCGAUCUCUCUCACGACGGGGCGACGACGAGAUUCAAUCAACUCUGGCAACGAUGAACACUAUCAUCAACUCCGGCGACGACGAAUAAUGUCAUCAUCUCCAACGAAAGCACGAAGCUUUGAUUCUAUUAUCUCCGAUAUGUUUCUAACGACGACGGCACCAAGACGACGGAAUCCCAAUCAACUCCGGCGACGACGAGCACUAUCAUCAACUCCGACGAAAAUCACGAAGCUUUGAUUCUCCAACGCCAUCUCGAUAUAACAAAGCAAUUCGUGAUUCACUUUGAGCAGUACAAAAGCUAAGGUCUUGCGAUUAUGCUGGUGUGUAUGAAGAUAUUUGUGGUUAUGAUUGGAGUCCAGAAGCUAAAGAUAUGCUUGCUGCAUUCUUAGGUUCUUUUUUUCUCUGUUAAAACCUUUUUAGUAUGCCAUGGUUUUUUGAACUAAAGCUCUCUGACAGAUGCAAAGUGAUUGUAAAGUGAUUGUUAACUUUUAUCUAGUCUUAAGCUUUGAUCUACGUAUUGACAGAUUAAUAUAAAACAUUCUUUUUUAUAAGCAGCACCACUUUUGCAUUUACAAGACAUCAU